UUGGAUCCUGGCUCAGAUUGAACGCUGGCGGCAGGCCUAACACAUGCAAGUCGAGCGGCAGCGGGAAAGUAGCUUGCUACUUUUGCCGGCGAGCGGCGGACGGGUGAGUAAUGCCUGGGAAAUUGCCCAGUCGAGGGGGAUAACAGUUGGAAACGACUGCUAAUACCGCAUACGCCCUACGGGGGAAAGCAGGGGACCUUCGGGCCUUGCGCGAUUGGAUAUGCCCAGGUGGGAUUAGCUAGUUGGUGAGGUAAUGGCUCACCAAGGCGACGAUCCCUAGCUGGUCUGAGAGGAUGAUCAGCCACACUGGAACUGAGACACGGUCCAGACUCCUACGGGAGGCAGCAGUGGGGAAUAUUGCACAAUAGGGGAAACCCUGAUGCAGCCAUGCCGCGUGUGUGAAGAAGGCCUUCGGGUUGUAAAGCACUUUCAGCGAGGAGGAAAGGUCAGUAGCUAAUAUCUGCUGGCUGUGACGUUACUCGCAGAAGAAGCACCGGCUAACUCCGUGCCAGCAGCCGCGGUAAUACGGAGGGUGCAAGCGUUGAUCGGAAUUACUGGGCGUAAAGCGCACGCAGGCGGUUGGAUAAGUUAGAUGUGAAAGCCCCGGGCUCAACCUGGGAAUUGCAUUUAAAACUGUCCAGCUAGAGUCUUGUAGAGGGGGGUAGAAUUCCAGGUGUAGCGGUGAAAUGCGUAGAGAUCUGGAGGAAUACCGGUGGCGAAGGCGGCCCCCUGGACAAAGACUGACGCUCAGGUGCGAAAGCGUGGGGAGCAAACAGAGAGUAGAUACCCUGGUAGUCCACGCCGUAAACGACUCUGGAGGAGGCUGUGUCCUGAGACGUGCUUCCCGAGCUAACGCGUUAAAUCGACCGCCUGGGGAGUACGGCCGCAAGGUAAAACUCAAAUGAAUUGACGGGGGCCCGCACAAGCGGUGGAGCAUGUGGUUUAAUUCGAUGCAACGCGAAGAACCUUACCUGGCCUUGACAUGUCUGGAAUCCUGUAGAGAUACGGGAGUGCCUUCGGGAAUCAGAACACAGGUGCUGCAUGGCUGUCGUCAGCUCGUGUCGUGAGAUGUUGGGU
rnacentral:rRNA from 1 species